rnacentral:rRNA from 1 species
UACGGGGGGGGCAAGCGUUGUUCGGAAUUAUUGGGCGUAAAGAGCUCGUAGGCGGUGUGUCGCGUCGGCCGUGAAAACCUGCAGCUUAACUGUGGGCGUGCGGUCGAUACGGGCAUCACUGGAGUUCGGCAGGGGAGACUGGAAUUCCUGGUGUAGCGGUGAAAUGCGCAGAUAUCAGGAGGAACACCGGUGGCGAAGGCGGGUCUCUGGGCCGAUACUGACGCUGAGGAGCGAAAGCGUGGGGAGCAAACAGG